rnacentral:rRNA from 1 species
UACGUAGGGUGCAAGCGUUUAAUCGGAAUUACUGGGCGUAAAGCGUGCGCAGGCGGUUGUGCAAGACAGAGGUGAAAUCCCCGGGCUUAACCUGGGAACUGCCUUUGUGACUGCACGGCUAGAGUGUGUCAGAGGGGGGUAGAAUUCCACGUGUAGCAGUGAAAUGCGUAGAGAUCGGGAGGAACAUCAGUUGCGAAGGCGGGCUUCUCUGG